GGCGAACUGGUGAGUAACACGUGGGAAACCUGCCCAGAAGCGGGGGAUAACACCUGGAAACAGAUGCUAAUACCGCAUAACAACUUGGACCGCAUGGUCCGAGUUUGAAAGAUGGCUUCGGCUAUCACUUUUGGAUGGUCCCGCGGCGUAUUAGCUAGAUGGUGGGGUAACGGCUCACCAUGGCAAUGAUACGUAGCCGACCUGAGAGGGUAAUCGGCCACAUUGGGACUGAGACACGGCCCAAACUCCUACGGGAGGCAGCAGUAGGGAAUCUUCCACAAUGGACGAAAGUCUGAUGGAGCAACGCCGCGUGAGUGAAGAAGGGUUUCGGCUCGUAAAACUCUGUUGUUAAAGAAGAACAUAUCUGAGAGUAACUGUUCAGGUAUUGACGGUAUUUAACCAGAAAGCCACGGCUAACUACGUGCCAGCAGCCGCGGUAAUACGUAGGUGGCAAGCGUUGUCCGGAUUUAUUGGGCGUAAAGCGAGCGCAGGCGGUUUUUUAAGUCUGAUGUGAAAGCCUUCGGCUCAACCGAAGAAGUGCAUCGGAAACUGGGAAACUUGAGUGCAGAAGAGGACAGUGGAACUCCAUGUGUAGCGGUGAAAUGCGUAGAUAUAUGGAAGAACACCAGUGGCGAAGGCGGCUGUCUGGUCUGUAACUGACGCUGAGGCUCGAAAG
rnacentral:rRNA from 1 species